GUGAAAGGUCUUCCUUGUGCGCUUGCAGAGCAUUAGUCUUGCUUCCCAGAACUCAUCACAUCCGCUCUCUGUGUCAGCCGCACAGCACUGUGGCUACUGUUCGGGACGGCUUGACUCGUCCUCCACGACCUUGCUGUUUUGCAAACAGACCAGUGACAGUCCCACCCGAGCGCCUUUGCAUUCCUGUUCUGCCCACCUGGAUCACAUCUGUUGUGUGACAUUGCUUGAGGAGACGUGAACAAAACGUCUCUCCACCCCAGAUAAGGCAGAUCAGAAAGAAAAGAGUCCACGGAAAUGUAGCCUGGCUAAUGGGUGAUGGUGAAAUGUUGGUGGAGACCAUCUCCUGCCUACACCUGGAUUUGUGUCUUGCCCCUCUCCAGGAGCAGAGUGGACCUGCUGUAGAGACUACAAACAGGAGGCCUGGCCUACCACAGGACCUGCUCAAGCAAGAACACCUACUACAGAGAGGCUCCUGCUCUGCAUUGCCUUUACCUAGUAUUGCACCACAAGUGUCUUUCUUCUCCUCAUUAGGCAUUCUGAAUCAAGGUGUUUUGUGAGCACUCUAUAAGGACGGGCUUAUUAACCUAUGUUAGUAACCUACUUCCUAUGUUGGGAAAGCUCGGCACGCCCAGUUGUUUUGCAGCUGGCCGGUACCAUAUUCUUUGCAAGGACCAGCGGCACGAACUCCCGCAUCUCCUGUGGUGUCCACUGCACCACUUCCUGAAACAGUGUCAGUUACUCCCAAGCUUACAGAAGUUAUGAAGAGACACACCAGGCCGCAGCAAGGCGAAGACGAAGGGCAAAGGCCGGGCGGGAAUCACCCCAGUCCCUUGCAGCUGCAGACUUGGCCGAGCCGAGCCGAGCGCCGUCCCCACAGCGUUUGGCUUCACGUCAGCCGGCUCCUGUGUCCAGGUUCCUGCCCUGCGUGAGUUCCUGUCCUGACUUCCCUCGGUGAUGAACAGUGAUGUGAAAGUAGCACUCCGAGUCCCUGAAGAAGCAUUUAGGAAAGAGGCGGAGGGUUUUGUGAAGAGGACGUCCUUGAAGAAAGCUGUGCUGGGCAUCUCAUCUCAGGGACAGCUGAGUUCUUUGCUUCCUUAACUGAAGUUCUGUGAGGGAAAGGGUCAGCCUGCUGGGUGGACAGCUGGGUUCUGGGAAGCCAGACAGAGGGAGAAAGCUGCUGUGGGGGAGCCGCUGCCCCCUCAGUGGGGUCAGCCUCAUGUGCUUCCUGAGUAAUGCUAGGGUAUGUGAAGCAUAAACUAUUCUGGACAGAUUUGGGACCUGCAGUAAAAGAGAAUUGGCAUGGGUUCCUACCUUUCUCUCUGUGUAUGCAGACAUGGUCUCACACACACACACACACACACACACACACACACACACACACACACACACAUACACAUACGUGUAUGCAAACAUGCACACAAGCAGAUACAUGUAAGUGUCAAAGAGUAACUUCAAAUCUCUUCCCUUCCUCCACUUUCCGUCAGGGGAUGAGUUCAGCUCUCAGGCUUACAGUAAGCACUUUGCUGGAUGACCCUCUCACCCACCCCUCCCUUCCUGGAUGACCCCUCACCCACCCCUCCCUUUCUGGAUGACC